rnacentral:rRNA from 1 species
AACGAACGCUGGCGGCAUGCCUUACACAUGCAAGUCGAACGGUAACAGGUCUUCGGAUGCUGACGAGUGGCGAACGGGUGAGUAAUACAUCGGAACGUGCCUAGUAGUGGGGGAUAACUACUCGAAAGAGUGGCUAAUACCGCAUGAGAUCUACGGAUGAAAGCAGGGGAUCGCAAGACCUUGUGCUACUAGAGCGGCCGAUGGCAGAUUAGGUAGUUGGUGGGAUAAAAGCUUACCAAGCCGACGAUCUGUAGCUGGUCUGAGAGGACGAUCAGCCACACUGGGACUGAGGAACGGCCCAGACUCCUACGGGAGGCAGCAGUGGGGAAUUUUGGACAAUGGGCGAAAGCCUGAUCCAGCAAUGCCGCGUGCAGGAUGAAGGCCUUCGGGUUGUAAACUGCUUUUGUACGGAACGAAAAGCCCCGGGUUAAUACCCUGGGGUCAUGACGGUACCGUAAGAAUAAGCACCGGCUAACUACGUGCCAGCCGCCGCCGUAACAC